GCAAAAGUCGUAACACGGUUUCCGUAGGUGAACCUGCGGAAGGAUCAUUCACACGUGAUGCAUGCAAGCUGGAAAAGUUGCCUGUUUGUAUGUGGGAAGUGCAUUUAUUAUGCACACCUGCAUUCAUGCGAGGUUACUGUCAAUCCGGCGACUGCAUGUAUGGCUUCUUGGACCGCAAUAACAACAACCUGUAAAUCUCUUUUCUUCUCCACAACGGUUUUUCUUUUGUUUACGGUACCUUAUUAGUGUACCACAACUAUAAGUUGUUGGGGUUUUCAGCUGCUUCACUGUGCUACUGGAUGAUAGGCUAGCUGCAUUUGUUUUGCCGGUCGGGGUUGUUGUUCGGCAGGCACAGCAUGGCAGCAGGGCUGUCGGCAGUGGCAGGUGUUUGCAGUUGUAUACCAUUUAAUUCUGCUAAAGAGCAGAAUGAUUUGUUUACAAAAAAAAACUUUCA
rnacentral:misc_RNA from 1 species